rnacentral:rRNA from 1 species
AGUGAACGCUGGCGGUAGGCCUAACACAUGCAAGUCGAACGGAUGGAGGACGGGUGGGGAAUAGAUCGAAAUCUAGUCUGUCGAGGGAGCUAACGUAGGGAAAAUUACGCUAAUACCGCUUAAGGUUGAAUGAGCCGAGGUCGGAUUAGCUAGUUGGCGGGGUAAAGGCCCACCAAGGCGACGAUCCGUAGCUGGUCUGAGAGGAGUAUCCGCCACACUGGAACUGAGACACGGUCCAGACUCCUACGGGAGGCACCAGUGGGGAAUAUUUGACCAUGGGCGCAAGCCUGGUCCAGCCAUACCGCGUGGGUGAAGAAGGUCUUCGGGUUGUAAAGCCCUUUUGUUGGGAAAGCGGUACCCAAAGAAUAAGCCCCGGCUAACUUCGUGCCAGCAGCCGCGGUAAUUC